rnacentral:rRNA from 1 species
GAGUUUGAUCAUGGCUCAGAUUGAACGCUGGCGGCAGGCCUAACACAUGCAAGUCGAACGGUAACAGGAAACAGCUUGCUGUUUCGCUGACGAGUGGCGGACGGGUGAGUAAUGUCUGGGAAACUGCCUGAUGGAGGGGGAUAACUACUGGAAACGGUAGCUAAUACCGCAUAACGUCGCAAGACCAAAGAGGGGGACCUUCGGGCCUCUUGCCAUCAGAUGUGCCCAGAUGGGAUUAGCUAGUAGGUGGGGUAACGGCUCACCUAGGCGACGAUCCCUAGCUGGUCUGAGAGGAUGACCAGCCACACUGGAACUGAGACACGGUCCAGACUCCUACGGGAGGCAGCAGUGGGGAAUAUUGCACAAUGGGCGCAAGCCUGAUGCAGCCAUGCCGCGUGUAUGAAGAAGGCCUUCGGGUUGUAAAGUACUUUCAGCGGGGAGGAAGGGAGUAAAGUUAAUACCUUUGCUCAUUGACGUUACCCGCAGAAGAAGCACCGGCUAACUCCGUGCCAGCAGCCGCGGUAAUACGGAGGGUGCAAGCGUUAAUCGGAAUUACUGGGCGUAAAGCGCACGCAGGCGGUUUGUUAAGUCAGAUGUGAAAUCCCCGGGCUCAACCUGGGAACUGCAUCUGAUACUGGCAAGCUUGAGUCUCGUAGAGGGGGGUAGAAUUCCAGGUGUAGCGGUGAAAUGCGUAGAGAUCUGGAGGAAUACCGGUGGCGAAGGCGGCCCCCUGGACGAAGACUGACGCUCAGGUGCGAAAGCGUGGGGAGCAAACAGGAUUAGAUACCCUGGUAGUCCACGCCGUAAACGAUGUCGACUUGGAGGUUGUGCCCUUGAGGCGUGGCUUCCGGAGCUAACGCGUUAAGUCGACCGCCUGGGGAGUACGGCCGCAAGGUUAAAACUCAAAUGAAUUGACGGGGGCCCGCACAAGCGGUGGAGCAUGUGGUUUAAUUCGAUGCAACGCGAAGAACCUUACCUGGUCUUGACAUCCACGGAAGUUUUCAGAGAUGAGAAUGUGCCUUCGGGAACCGUGAGACAGGUGCUGCAUGGCUGUCGUCAGCUCGUGUUGUGAAAUGUUGGGUUAAGUCCCGCAACGAGCGCAACCCUUAUCCUUUGUUGCCAGCGGUCCGGCCGGGAACUCAAAGGAGACUGCCAGUGAUAAACUGGAGGAAGGUGGGGAUGACGUCAAGUCAUCAUGGCCCUUACGACCAGGGCUACACACGUGCUACAAUGGCGCAUACAAAGAGAAGCGACCUCGCGAGAGCAAGCGGACCUCAUAAAGUGCGUCGUAGUCCGGAUUGGAGUCUGCAACUCGACUCCAUGAAGUCGGAAUCGCUAGUAAUCGUGGAUCAGAAUGCCACGGUGAAUACGUUCCCGGGCCUUGUACACACCGCCCGUCACACCGUGGGAGUGGGUUGCAAAAGAAGUAGGUAGCUUAACCUUCGGGAGGGCGCUUACCACUUUGUGAUUCAUGACUGGGGUGAAGUCGUAACAAGGUAACCGUAGGGGAACCUGCGGUUG